AAAAGUUGGUUUCAAACACGUGCGUCGCAAAGUGGUUAAUAAAUCCUUUAUGAGACAUGUAACGGACGCCAUUUAACCAUAUAUUUUGUCAAACAAUACAAUCAACACCUUUAUUAAUUGGUCCUUUGUUGCCUACAGCUAUAAAAUGCAACCAGCUGAUUAUUGAUUUUCCCUCAAAAUCUUAACGAGUUCAAGGUGAAUUCCGAGUAUUGUCUGAUCAGGUAAAGUC
rnacentral:lncRNA from 1 species